rnacentral:rRNA from 1 species
GACGUAGGGCGCGAGCGUUGUCCGGAUUUAUUGGGCGUAAAGAGCUCGUAGGCGGCUUGUCGCGUCGACCGUGAAAACCUAGGGCUCAACCCUAGGCUUGCGGUCGAUACGGGCAGGCUAGAGUUCGGUAGGGGAGACUGGAAUUCCUGGUGUAGCGGUGAAAUGCGCAGAUAUCAGGAGGAACACCGGUGGCGAAGGCGGGUCUCUGGGCCGAUACUGACGCUGAGGAGCGAAAGCGUGGGGAGCGAAC